rnacentral:lncRNA from 1 species
UGCUGACCUUCUAGAGGACGCGCCUGUCGCAGAGGGAGGCCGGCGAGGCGUCAGCGGGAAGUCGCCAGCCGCCGUGAAUCCAAGCGCUCUUCCCUGUCAACUCCUCGUCUCCUCACUUCCUGCUCGUAAUGGACUCGUGUCUUAGCUCUGCAUGAAAUAAAAACUUUCAUUCAAUGUUAAACACACCAACAAGUCAAUGUUAUCAUGUCACACGUCAUGGUUAUUAUAUCACAUGGUUGGUUAUUAUAUCACAUGGUUGGUUAUUAUAUCACAUGGUUGGUUAUUAUAUCAUACGGUUGGUUAUUAUAUCACAAGUUUGGUUAUUAUGUCACAGGGUUGGUUAUUUUAUCACAUGGUUGGUUAUUAUAUCACAGGGUUGGUUAUUAUAUCACAUGGUUGGUUAUUAUAUCACAUGGUUGGUUAUUAUAUCAUACGGUUGGUUAUUAUAUCACAAGGUGGGUUAUUAUAUCACAAGUUUGGUUAUUAUAUCACAGGGUUGGUUAUUAUAUGACAGGGUUGGUUAUUAUAUCACAAGGUUGUCGUUCACUGUAGCAGACGCUAGUUACCUGAUCAAUGUGUAGCUUUGUGCAGUAGAUUAACGAAACAAAACGUAGAGAUGUCACCAAACACCACAAGGGGGGGAGACCCUGAAGGCCUCGCUCAGCUGAGGUCAGGGGGGAGGAGUUCCGACACAGGACAGUUCCUUAUUGGACGCUUCAGACGCUUCAUCAUGUGCUGUAAAUCCUUUUGUCCUUUUUUGGAGUAAAUAUUCUGAAACAAACUGUCUACAAAUCCCGACUUCUUCUUCAUGGAGACGAUCGUCCAUCUGAAGCUCAAACUGCGUCAUGUUCAGAAUCGGUGUCUGGAUUAAAAAGCUUUGCUAACCUGCGUCGUGAAAAUGGUGACGAAACAAAACCAGCACUGAUCUGGUCUCAACAGGAUUGAUGUCAUAUGAUCGUGUGUUUACAUUCACGUCCAAGUCUGAAUUCACAAAAAACAAAAUCUGUGAAGAAAUCACCUCCCGUUAAACUGACUCUGUCUCGUGUCUGUGAACGCACCACGCAGCAGCCAGUUUCACAAAUGUGUUGCCAUGUUGAGAAACUCUCGGACCCACGGGCCCACGUGGAGGAUGGAGGCCUGAGAGGUCAGAUCGAUGCUCCUGAAGGUCGUCCAACACCUUCUGUACUCAGUAGGUGCAGUAGGACGUGGGAUCUGAACACCGUCACCUACUCUCCCUCCAUCAGAGCGUCGGUGGGACGAACUGGGCCCAGUUACAUAAAUAUCACGUGGCGAGACGAGACGUUCACAAUGUCCUGUCAGAUAACGGAGAGAGAGACGACAACCGAGUCACGGUGCAGAGAGGAAGUAGGCCUGCCGUACGGCUGGGACGAGGCCUUCACUGCAGACGGAGUCAAAUACUACAUCAAUCACGUGACCCAGACGACGUCAUGGAGCCUUCCUGCGACGACCAGCAGCGGCACGGCGCCGCCUCCCACGCCCCCGGAGACCUCGGCGCCGGACGCGGAGGCGGCGGAGCGGAGACCCGGGGGCCCGUCCAUCGAGACGGAGAUGUAGACCUGCAGCCGUUUGUGUCGAGCUCCUGAAGCUCUGAGCGACGAAUCAUCAGCGAUUUACUGAAUCAGAUCAAACCAGCGAAACUUAAUAAUAAAACAUCUGUAAAACAACAUUAUUUUAUUUAUGUAUGAAUUCAUGU